UGAGGACUCACAUCUAACUCUGACUGCUGAUCCUGGAAUCUACGGCUAAUUUGGAGCUCAUGCCUCUGAACCUAUGGUGUAACAUAAGAGAAAGCACCAUAGCGCAAAUGUGUCAGUACGUCUGAAUGUGCUGAGUAUACAAGUGAGGUAGGCUAAAUGCAAAGGGUUAUAUGCAUGGACAAUAUUGACUGAUAUGAAUGUGAGAGUACAUACAUACAUACAUAACUGUAACUGAACUCGUGGAGAUACGAACUACUGAGUCUGAAUAUUGACAACAUGAGUGUACUGAUAAUGAGAUUCUGAAAGACUGAGUUUACUGAUAUUGAUAAAUAAAUCACUAAUAAGUGAUGGAUCUGAUAUUGUAUUAUUGAAUACUAAGAGACUGAUAUUGCAUUACUGAUAAAUAAAUGAUUGUUUCUGACAGUUCAAAUUAUGAAGAACUGGUCUAAUUGACUGUAUAUGACAGUCCUGAAGCUGAGUACUGAUAGCAUGAGUUCUGAUAACUGUUGUGAUUGAUAGCAUAAGUGACUGUAUCUGAAAGUCCAUAAAUCUGAAGGAAAAUAUUUGAGUUCAAUUCUAAAUCUGAGUUGACUGUAUCUGACAGUCCUGAUAUACUAAAAUCUGAAGAACUACCUAAGUUCUUUACUGAGACUGGGUAGCUAUAGCUGACAGUCCUAAAAUCUGUAACUGAAAUUAUAGGAAGUAGUUAUCUAACCGACAUGCCCCAAAUACGCUAUAAUAGCUAAGUUGGGGUCCAAUCUCUCGACUGGAGGGGUGUCAAUACCGCACCACUGGUAAGGACAGCUAUGAGAACCCUAUACUGGAAGGUACUUAAUGAAAACAGUGGGAACCCUAAACUGAUGGGUUAAGCCACCUCAUCAACCCUAAUCUGACGAGUUAAGAUAUCUCAACCUACGCUGGCUACGUAGUUCUAGAACACAAGGAUGACUACUAAGAAUCACACCCUGAACUAGCGGGUGAGUUCCCAUCCUUGGGUUUACUCGGUGCUAACUUCUACUCCCAUCUGAAGGACACUAAACUGAAUAACUAAGAUAAACCGAAUAACUGAACGGAACUGAUUAGCUGAACUGAUACUAUUAACUUGACUGAUACUAAUGGUAUUGUUUAGCAGAGCUAAACUAAGUUUAAUGGAUUCCAAUGACUGGUGGAAUGUACUGAGCUCUAAGAACUAGUUGAGAGUACUAAAGUUACUAAGAUUGACUGUGAAUACUAAGGUUGCUGAGGUUACUGAGCACUGAGAUUACUGAGAUUACUGGACUACUGAGAUUACUGAGAUUUCUGAGUUUUCCUGAGUNNNNNNNNNNNNNNNNNNNNNNNNNNNNNNNNNNNNNNNNNNNNNNNNNNNNNNNNNNNNNNNNNNNNNNNNNNNNNNNNNNNNNNNNNNNNNNNNNNNNNNNNNNNNNNNNNNNNNNNNNNNNNNNNNNNNNNNNNNNNNNNNNNNNNNNNNNNNNNNNNNNNNNNNNNNNNNNNNNNNNNNNNAACUUGAAUUUCUUGAGUACACGACCAUCAAUAAAAAUUCAUAAUACAUGAGUGGGGGAUUUCAUGAAUACAUGGUCAUCAUAAUAUCUAUCAUGAAUAGGAAUGCUUAUAAUCAAGUCAUAAAUCUCAUAUUCUAAUAUCAUGGGUAUUCCAACAACAUAUACUAUUCAUAGCAAUCGCAUGGAAACAUUUCAAGCGUAAAGGAAUGGUAACAUGUAAUGUUUAGUUCAUAUUGUAAUGAUUUGAGGAUAUUAUACUUCAUGUAUUUAUUCAACAUCUCAAACAUGGUAGGAAAAUCAUGGAUAUAUUUUGCGUACAUAAUUUACAUCACCAUUAUCAUACAUGUUUUAUACCACAACAAUAACAACACAUAAUUUGCAUGGAAAUUCAUAUUGGAGUGUAUGGCUAACAUGAACUUGUUAUUUAGAUAUCACGAAAUCAUGUAAAUAUGAAGUUCUAACAUACUAGGCAUUUUAUCGAACACCUUGCAUGCAUUCUUUAAGGCAUAGGUGGAUUUCAUACUUACAUUCUAUCAAUCCACCUAAAGAUCAUGUUUUUUCAACUAACAACUUAACUUUCAUGAGAUAUACAGUCACGAUACUAUUAUAUAGCAAAACAAACAAGCAUCAACAUGGGUAUGAUCAUAUCACCACAAUCAACCAAGAUUUUGUAUUUUAAAGAUUGAUUCUUGAAAUCCACAGAUGAAAGGUAUCCGUGGAUGAACACUACGCAUACCUUGGAAGGGAGGUUCUUGAUGAUUGACGGAGGAAUUUCCUUAAAAUUUGAUCUUCAAGCUUAAUUAUGCAACCCUAGUUGUUUUUAUCUUUUAGUGCUCUUGGAUGAUGAGCUUUGAGAUGUUAAUAGGGUUGUAAUGUGUUUAGAAGCUGUAUAUUUCGUAGGGUUAAGUUUAGGGACGUGUAAGGAGUGUUAAAAGACUUAAUUACCCUUAAAAUAACUCAAAACGGAGUGUUUUUGGCACAUGGAACUGACUUAGGCGGCACCCAAGUGAUUGCCUAAGCUAGGUUGGCCGGCGCCUAACCAAUCUCCUAUGUUUGGGUUGGGCGGCGCAUAACCAAUCGCCUAUCCUUACUGUCUCUCACGAAAAAGGGCAUAACUCUUCGCUCGGGUAUUGGAUUAAGGCAAAAUUGGUAUCUUUGGAAAGCUAAUUUGAUUCUCUAUGAUUUAGUGGGUCUAAAUCGGCCAAAAUACCAUAUUAACAUCGAGUUAUACUCAUUCAAAGAUGACCCUUUCAAAAUCGAACAUUAAAACUUGAUGGAUUCAAAAACUCUUAGCUUGUAUUACCUUAAGUGACUCAUAUGAACAUGCUUAAUGUAUCAUAAGCUAUCUUAUUGCUAGGAUACUCAUUAUAAUUCAUGCACUAAAAUGCUACUCAUAGGAUAGGAGGUUUCAUAUGUAGGAAAAAUGGUUCGUCUCUUAGCUUAGAAACAUACGGGGUAUUACAUUAUGGCUAUAGGUGACUCAGACAUGGAAGAAAAGAAAGUAAAAUCUGAGGUAAAUAUACUUGAUCUUAAAGAUAAAUUGCAUCUUUGUUCUAAGAAAAGACUAAUUCCCUUGAUGAACACAUUGAUUGAUGAUUUUCACGAGCUCACAUCUGAAAGUGAUCAGUUAUUCAAUGCUUUUUUAAGUCUAAAGUUUGAUUACAUUGAUCUUGAGACUUGCAAGAAUGUCAUUGAUACAGAAAACUGCACCCUAAAGGAACAAGUUAGUCAACUUAGUUCAUCAAACCUAGAUCUAAAAUCAGAAAUCUUAAAGUUGUCAAUUACUGAAAAAGAAAAAGGAGCCAUAAGUGAAAAUCAUCAAAUAAUUGAGUCCGAACUUAAACAAAGAAAAGAUGAAUUGUUUUACUCAAAGAGAAAAGGUUAGAAAGAUAACUCAAGAAAACUCUAGAAUAAAACUUGAUCUUGAAAGAGCUAACCGAUGGACCAAGUCAUCUAGAAUUAUUAAUUAUUUAAGUAGUAGGACUCAAAAUGAGAGGGUUGGCAUAGGUUUUACAAAGAAACUAUUUCCUUAAAUAUUUAUGUUAUAUUUUUGGAAAACUAGGACACUCAACCACUAAAUGUCCUGUUUCUCCCAAAAACAGAUCCAGCAAUCUAAAUCUGGCAAAUAAACUAUCUUAGACCAAGAAAAGGAUAACUAAAUACAGUCAGAGAAAUAGGUCAUGUAACCUAUUUCUGCAUGGCCUAGAAUAAAUCUGAUUCAUCUAUUUACUCAUAGGAAAGGACUCAAGCUUGUCUGGGUGCCUAAAGUUAACCCCUAAUUUGUUUUACAGGUGAAAGUGAAUAGAGGCAAGAAAAAUUUGUACAUAAAUAAAGCUUACUCAAGGACUAGAAGAAAAUAAAGUUUCUUUCACUCACCACAUUUAAAGGGGGAAUGGAUCAUUUCAAAGAUGACCAAAUUUGUAGUGCUCGUGUAAGGGGGAAGCAAGGGAGAUCUAAAAAAAAUGAUUCAGUGCUUGGACCUGGUUCGUAUGAAUCUUUGUGGACUAAUGUAAGAAGCAGAGUAGUUGAGAGAAUAACAGUGAAACUGAUGAGCAUGCACAAAAGUAUGUUGUACCACCUGUUCCAUGACUGAGGGCAUAUUGAUAGUGGGAACAACAAAUCAAUGGCUUGUGACUAUGGUAUCUAAAGGAAAGUAAUUUCACUCUUGAGGGCUAUAAAAAUGUUGAUUAUGUGGGUUACUUAAUUGACUGGAGAAGCAUCAAAGGCACUAAGUAGAUAGCAUUUUGAAAGGAAUAGGUUAGACUUGGGGAUGAUUAAAAUUGCAUAAACUCCCCUCAAUGAUUGACUAGAAUAAUCAUUUUUCUUCUUAAUCUUAUUUGCUAAAAAGUUAUUCUAUUCAGUCUUGCACAUUUAGUUGUGUGUCCCAGUUCUAGAUUUUUGACUUUUCUAACCUAAUUUUGUAUUAGAUUGUGCAGAAAAAUAGGUACAAGCAAGCAAUUGUGACCACAAAGUUCUUUUUAUCAGGUAUGUUCUACACUGACAUAAGCAUAGGCUGUCUAAGUUGAAAUAGUUGAGCACACCUAUCAAUUCCACACACUUCAUCCUCUCAUUGUCUAAUAAAUCUAAUGAAUUGGUUGACCAAACUUUCUUUGAUUCUCUCCAAACGGGUGUGCACAAAUGUGUUAAUCCUACACCAAAAAUUCCUUCUUCUUUCUCAACAAAAUUAUCAGUUGUGUACUAUGAAUUUUCUAAGCUUGAUCAUCAAUCACAUGCAUCAUAUGGUUCUGAAGAAUGAAAAGGGACAUGCUUUCCCUUUUAGUUCCUAAUUGGUUAUUUUUUAGGACUUCUCAGUCCUAGUUCAGGUUUGACCAGCAAAAUAAUAAUAGAUGUUCUUGAAAGAGGGUACUUAUUCUUGGUUGUGACCUUAUUAAGUUGAUAAUAGUCAAUGCACAUACGCAAAGAACCAUCUUUCUUUCGCACGAAUAAGACAGGUACGCCCGAAGGAAAGACACUGGGCCUUAUAAAACCUUUAACUAAAAGAUCUUUGAGUUGCUCUUUCAACUGUUUAAGCUCUGUGGGUGCCAUAUGGUAUGGCAAAAUAGAAAGAGGUUGUGUGUCGGGAAGAAGGUCAAUCCCGAACUCUCUCUCUAUCGGGAGGCACACUUGGGAGAUCUUCUGGAAAGACAUCGGGAAACUUAUUAACAAUAUUGACUGACUGAAUAGUUGGACCCUCAGACUUAGUGUCUUUAACUCUAACUAGGUGAUAGAUGCAACCUUUGGAUAUUAGCUUUCUGACUUUGAGAUAGGAGAUAAAAUGACUCUUGGUAGAUGCUGAACUCCCAGACCACUCGAAAAUUGGUUCAUCAGGAAACUGAAACUUAACUAUACGGGUACGAUAGUCUAUAGAUGCAUAACAAGAGUGAAGCCAAUCCAUACCCAGAAUAAAGUUGUCAAAAUCGACCAUCUCCAACUCUAUCAAAUCAGCAAAUAUGACUCUAUGAAAAACAAAAACAUGGAACUUUUUAUACACUUUCUUAGCAACAACUGACUCCCUUACUGGAGUAGAAACCAGGAAAGACUCAGGAAUCUUUUCGGAACUCAUUUCAAAAUUCACAGCAACUAAUGGGGUCACAUAAGAGAAACUUGACUCGGGGUCCAGCAACACAUAAACAACAAAGUUAAAUACAUGGAGUAAGAGAAUCUUCCUGCUUCUGGCGGGAUGGUAAGGCAUAGAAUCUAUUCUGGCGCUGACCGCCAGCCAUACUGGAAGAAUCGCCCUGAGGAGGGGAUGGACAGGGUAAAGGAGAUGGGGCACUAGUAUCCUAAGUCUGAGGUCGUACAUCUCUAUUCCCUUGCCUAACAUGCGGGCACUCUCUAAGUCUGCGGCCUAACUUGCCACAACCAAACCAACCCCUCAGUUUGGCCAAACACUCGCCUGAAUAGGUCCUGCCAUACUUAGCACAAGAAGGAUAAUAAGGCCUGUUACUUACACUAUUUUGGGAUCUAGACAUACAAGACUUGCUCCCUUGCUCCUGCCUGUUUUUGGGCGAGGGAACACUAGCUGAUGAAGGUGCUGGCAUAGACGAACAGCUUUGAAACUGUGGACGGUUCCCUCCAUGAAACCUAAUCUGACCAUACUCAGCUGCUCGGAUCUAGCCCUCUUGUUUCCUUUUACUCUAUCUCUCUCCCUUAUCUUGCCUAUCUCUAUCUGCUUUGCAUAUAUCAUCAGUCUGGACAGAUCCAUAUCCCUAUUACGCAUAGCAGUCCUACACUCUUUUAGCACCAAACCAUUCACACCUGUCACAAACUUGCUCAUAUUAGUUCAAGUGUCAGCCAUCAAAUCAGGAGCAUACUUGGCUAACUGGUUAAACUUAAGGCAGUACUCUUUUAUAGUCAUAGAUCUCUGUCUCAAGUUUCAUAAACUCCUCGAUCUUCGCUUCCCUCAUCUCAAGCGGGAAGAAAUUACCCAAGAACGCAUCAUGGAACACCUUCCAAGUUAUAGGGGCAGUAUUCUCCCCUCUAUUCUUCCUCCACGCUACAACUCAAUCAUAAGCAAUGUCUUUCAACUUGUAAGAUACCAACUCCACACUCUCUUUCUUAGAAGCAUGCAUCACUUGGGUGAUCUUCUUCACCUCCUCAAGAUACAACUGUGGGUCCUCACUAGCCUUAGACCCAUAGAACUCUAGCAAAUUCAUCCUCAUGAAAUCUCAAAUCCUGGCUGUAGUGAAAUAACCUCCUUGCUGAUGCGGAACUACAGCCUUAACAUUAGUAGUGACUGCCUAGGCUAACCCUGAAAAGCUGCUCGAAACUCAAAAUAAGACACAGUCACAUUCAGGGGAUCAAUAGCCUAAGGUUGCUCAUUAUUGUUUCUGCGAGCAUUUGUUAUUUGGGGAGGCAUUUUCUGAAAUAAGAGAGCACAAAUUAACAGCUGAGAGAGACAAUAGUAAGCACGAUAGAUUCAGAAAGGAAAAGAUGACUUUUUCUUAAAAUAUCUUGUAGCCUCUUAAUCAUAGAUGUUGUGCGCUACAUACCGAUGAUCAAGACUCUACUUAAUGUGGCUUGUCAGAUUCCCUAGGACUCCUUCAACCUUAGGCUCUGAUACCAAGCUUGUAACGCCCCAAAAUCUCAUCCCGUGAUGUCACACGGUGCUUAAGGCUACAAGUAGCCCUAAGCUAACCCUUUGAGCCUGUUACUACUUCUAACACUUGCUUCGGAUAAAUAAGCUAAACAAUGAUACUUUAUUGUGUCAACUAUAAUCUGAAAUAACUAGAAACAAUGUUUGGAUAGAAAAAAUACUAAUAAUCUGGAACACAACUUCAACUAACAGUCUAGUCUGACAAAGACUCUACUACUCAAACUGGAGAGCCAUUGGGACGGACCCCAACUGACUCGCAAUGAUCUGAAAGUAAAACUCAAAACACAAUAAAAGCAGAAAAGCUGCAAAUAUAGGUCCUCAAACUAGGAGGACUCACCAAGGAUAAGGAUGUAGAUGAGAUGCUCGGAGAUCACUGUCACUGCUGGGUCUGAGCACCUAAACCUACAUUAUGAGACAAUGUAGCACACAGACGUGUAUGUGGAUCAGUACUUUGAGGAUGUACUGAGUAUAUGGGGGUGUAUGCAUUAAUUAAGAUAAUAGUAUCAAUCUUAAUAGAAAUCAUGCAUGCAGCUAUAAAUGACUCACAUAACUUGAAUAAAGAUGAAAAAUGAAUAUCAUAAAUCAUGUAUAAUGAGGCAUAAAUCAUAAAUCUCGUGAGUCAUUAUAUUAGUUCUAAAACCCAUAUUCUUCAUCUUAUUCUCAAAACAGGUAAGCAAGAGAAAUCUUAAAACAUUAGCUCUCAAAACUUGAACUUUGAUCUUAUGGAGAAUAAAUGACUUCUUUAAAAAUUAGAGCUUAUAGAACUUUGGGACUUAGGAAACUUUUAUCUUAAUUAGGGUAGGGAACUACUUUGGGAGUUUCUUUUAACUGACAUAAACCAUGUAAGCCACAUGGAGUCCAACGUCUUACCCACAUUGGGGAGAGCUGUUCUAUCUUGCCAUCAAAGUAGAACCUUAACUUUAGUGAUCACUUAUCUUAACCCACUUGGGGUAAAUUAGAAACCCACGGGGGCACGUAGUUCUAGGGUAUGAGACCGUGGAAUCAUACCUAACUCGGUACUAAAUAUUACUCCCAUACUUAAGCUCAGAACUUUUAGGAAAAUCCACGUUAAUAUAACUCAAGGUCUAUAAUGGAGACCAAAUCAUGUUUCUCUUUGCUUUAAAUCAUAAUCAAAUGUGGAUUCCUAUCUUAGCUUAGACCCAAAAGGUCAAAUCUUUAACUAAAAUCUGAAAAUAGCUUAGCUAGGGGGUACUUAUGACCCAAAUAAUCUUGAACAACAAUCUUUAAAGAGGGUCAAUUGACCCAAACAGAAAUUCUCAAGUCAGAUAUCUCAAAAUUCAUGCUUAGGAAUGCAAUUACUCAUAAAGUAUCUUGAGAUCCAUAAAUUUCAUUAAUAAGCAUGAAAACAUAAUUGAAAUCAUGUAAUUCAACUCUCAAUUCAUGGGGAAUAUCAAAAUCUUGCAAUGAAUGAUAAUGGGUGUAAACCCUAACUGAAUUUCAUAGAAAAAUCUCAUAAAUUACAGAAUUUUAUAAUUAAAAUAAGCUUUUGGGCACAAGGGGGAAAGGUUUACCUUGUUCAAACCCCACAUACCUUGGAUUUUGACUUGUAGGUGAACAAGCUUGCUUGAGACUCUUUUUCUCAAACGCUCGAGUGAGGGUUCUUGAAGCUUUUGACUUGGGAACCUUGAAUCUUAACUCAAUUUGCAGCAACUAUGGUGGAAUUUUAAAGUUCUUGGAGAAAGAUUUGGAUUUGCUCUUGAGGGUUAAUCUUGAGAGAAAACCUAAGUUUUUGUGUUCUUGAAGAAACUGAAGCUAUCUGGUUUGUUUUGGAUAUUUCUAGGUGUUAAAAGGGUGGGAAAAGACCAAAAAGUCAUUUUAAAAAUGACUUAAAAUUACUGAGCGGGAUCUACGAUGGUUAUGCGAUCGUCCGUCACUAGGUCGACGGUCCGUCGGACUGACCAUCGCACCUGGACCAGAAUAGGGGUUCACUGCCUCGUCUGUGAUGGCUUGGUCGAAGAUCCGUCAGCCUUACUAUUGCACCUAGCCAGAAUAUGGUCUCACUUCCUCCGAUGCGAUGGUUUGGGUGACGGUCCGUCAUCCCUCUCCGUUGCACCUGGGCGGUUCAAACUGCUUUCUAUAAUUCGAUCAUAACUUUCUAUUCCGAUAUUGGAUUUUGACAAAAUGAGUAUCGCUGGAAAGAUAAUUUAAUUUCCCACAUGAUAAAAAGUUAUUUUUAGGAAAAUUCUAUAUGGUUUAAAUACUAAUCACUUUGGAAGUCACUCUUAAAUCUUUUAGAGACGGAAUAAGGCUUCACUUAACAUGUUCUAAAGGCUUAGACUACGAGAAAAAUUUACGGGGCCUUACAUGCUCUCAAUUGUUUUACACGAAUUAUACGUUAUUUUGGAUUGUUCUAUAUACCAGUACUUUUCAAGUAUUGACCCUUUACCCUACAGGUUCUGAGGCACAAUCCUGUGGCUCUAUUCAGCUAUAGAUUUCCCCCGGAUAGUCAGAGUUAGUGAGCCUCCCUUACUUCAGAAGGCAUCUUAUCCAUAAGUUUAGUUUUUUUAUGGUCCGGUCGGGGGUCUUGUCCCGAUCUAGACAGACUAGUUUAUUCAGUUUAGUAGAGGCUUCAUCGACUGAACUGGGUUCUUUCUUUUAUGGAUGGUUGUCAUGAAGUAUUAAGUUUGACUAUGGGAUUUUCAUGCUUCAUUUUACCUUCCACAUUUUAUUUCAUAUGGAUUAUGCUUAUGAUAGUAUGUUAAGGGGUCUCUCGGGCCUUUGUGGUUUGGGAUGCCCAUUGCGUCCAGGGCCUCAGCUCUGGUCGUGACAAGAUUUGCAUCAGAGCACGGUUCAUAGUCCUUGGGUAUCUACAAAGCCAUGUCUAGUAGAGUCUUUCUUAUGGGUGUGUUGUGCACCACACUUAUAAUCAGGAGGCUACCGGGCAUUUAGGAGAUGUUUCCCAUUCGUUCAUACUCUAAAUCGUACAAUAGUGUUCUCCAUAUGAAAUUCAUCCAAAUUCCUUCCUUGAUAUAAUUUGAUAGGCCAUGUCUUAUUAUCGAGGAGGUAUAAGUUCAAAAAUUUAUAUCCUAAUGAUGUGGUCCUUUCUGAUUGAGUUAUUCAUAAAGUUUUGAAAUAGCAUAAGGACUUGAGAGGAGUUCAUUAGUGCAUCAAGUGUAUUGACUCAAAUGUAUAACCCUAUCUAUAUCAAUCAUACAUUUGAUCUAGAGGUAAGAAGUGUAUUCAGUCCCUUUUCAAAAGCUUUGGUGCAGAUGUCAUGCUUAAGGGAAAUGAUAUAUAGCAGAAUAUUAGAACAAUAUUUCCAUUCGAGUGGUAGUUUAUGUUAAGUUGUUAAAAUCUAUGAGUAGUAAGAUGGUCCCAAAGUUAAGUGGUAUGGUCAUAAGUUUAGAAGUUAAAGUAAGAGUAAUUCUUGAGUGAAGAAGGUAGUUGUGGUUAUGUAACCUUUAAGUAGAUAGUGGUAUGACCUUUUAUGGUGAUUGGCUAAAGUUGUAGCAUGAUUUAUAGAUUUAUAGUAUUUAGAAGAGGACGUGAUUAGUUAUGAUGAUUAGAACUUAGUUGAAAGAGGGAAAGAACUCGUGAUGCAUACUUAGUGUAGUAGAAAAAUUAAUCUUAGGUUGUGAUUGAAAGGGUUAGAUUGGCUUGUAGUUUAUAAUUUUGCAUUCAAUUGGGAAAUCUAAGAAGGAGGAACUCAUUGAUGGUUACAGAAUUUUAAAGGUAGUUGGGAUGUAUGCAUGGGUAAGUAGAUAUGAUGUGAGAAAGUAGAAUAUGCUAAUAGAUCCUAAUGGGUCAUAGUAUAAGUGUAAGGUCGACUGUUCUUAUUAUGUGAUUCCCCACCCCCACCCCACACCCACUUAAUUCUCUUUUCUCUAGUAGUUGGAAACUAGUACAGUAUGUGAGAAGGCGUAAUGAAUAUUAAGGUGUAGUACUAGCAUUAUAGAGUAAAAUGUGUUUCUAUGUCGUAGUUAAAAGAAGGAAUUUAGGUUGAUUUCUUUAUUCGAUGGACUAUUAUAAUAUGCAAGAUGUUUCAUAGUUUGUACAUGAUUAGUGUUAGGUUUCAACUUUAGAUAUUGAUUGUGGAGAUAAGAAUCUUAACUUGAGGGUAGUGAUACAAGAAUUAUCGGAAUAAGUUAGUAGGCUUGAUUUGAUAUGUGUCAUACCCUAGUUUGGAAACUUUUGGAAAACUUGAGUGGAAAAAUUAUGAUAUAUAUACAUAAGGAUUAGCGCUAAAAUAAUGAAUUUUGGCUGAGUCACUAGGUGGAUAAGAGCGUUGAUUUAUAAAAAUAAGUUUAACCCCAGGUAGUUUAUUGUCAGAUGAGGUCCUAAGUGUAUAAGUGUCAUGUGUGCCUAGUUCAUGUUCUUGAUUUUAUUACUAUGGAAAAGGAUAGAGAGCUACCAUAUGGUGUUAUUUAGAGAUAAAUUGAGGAAAAUAUAUAUAAACGAUGUGAGCCUUUGAUAUAGUUUUAAAAAUUUAUUUAAGUUAGGAGUUAUGCGGUUAGAGUUUUAAUGCUAGUAUACUAAGGAGUGGCGAAUGAAUUAUUGCUUGUUAAGUAGUUUGGAUGGGUAUGCUCAUGAGAGUGUGAGCUAAAGGGUGAUAACUGUAGAAUCCAAUAGGAAAAAUAAAUUAAGAUUAGCAUCCCUAGAAGGAAUUUAGUAUCCUCAUAUUAUAGUUAUUAAAGGGAAGUUUGGUGUUCAUGUGUAUAGUGAUAUCCCAUUGUGUUGAGUGUUGUGCUUAAAGACCUAAUGAGAGGAUAUGUCUGAAAGUUUAGAAUUGUGACUUUGAUCUAAGGGGGAGAUGAUAAAUUAUGGUACAUCUUGAAUUUUCUCAUGGUGGUGAGUUACAGGGUAGAGUCAUGAUAACCCUAUACUUAUUCUAGCAAAUUCCUCCUCCUCUGGUUUAAGCGAACAUACUAUCAAUGUAUUAUGCAUUCAAGUUAUGCAUAUGCUUAAGGUACGAGUUAUUUAUGAAACUGAUGUCCAUGCUCCAACCCUUGAACUAGAAUCAAUAACGGUUCUCGGAAAUCCAAUCUUCAAGUAUUCAAGCUUUAUAUUAUGAUGUUCAUGGUCCAUAUAACUCAUGUCUCACUUUAUGCUUAGUUCUAAGACACUAUACUAUCUAUAUGUCACUAAUUCAUUUUUAUGUCAUGACUUAGCCAAAGGUGAUGCUAUCUACGCAACCUCGUGACCAUUCUCAAUUCUUAGAAUGAGAAGCAAUAGCUUCAAACAGAAAUCCUUGUUUUACUCCUUAAAUAUAUGAUUCUCAACUUUAUGUUAUAUGACCCAUGCUAUAUGCACUCAUGUUUCUCAUUGUGCCUAGACUAAAGAACUUACGCUACAUUAUGUUUAUUUCAAAAAAAACCCUCUACGUAUGAUCUAGGUGGUUUCUAUAAGGUAUUUCGUGUCUAUUGCAUCAUAUCUCACUCGAUGUUUGUACUCUAGUCCCUCAAUGAGCUUUCUGAUAUUGGAAUGAUAGUGAUAAUAACAGCGGAGUAAUGUUUUAGAUAUAGGAGCGGAUGUUCUUUAAGGUUAAAAUUUGAUAUGUAGGUACUCGAGUCAAGGUUAUAGGUGAAGAGGGACGAGGGAAAUGAACUUUUGUUAUGUGAAAUAGUUAUAAAGGGGAUAUAUGGCGAAAAUCUUUGUGAGAAUGAUUGAAGUUACUGGUUUUAGUGGGGAGAUCUAUAAAAUGCGUGUAGUGGAGAUAGUCUUGAAUGUUGUGAUUGAUAGAUACACAAACCAAUUUGCUAUAUGGUUAGUACUCCUCAAUUUAAGACCUAAAAGUUGUUUGAUUAUAGUGAUAUGGUGAAGUAAUAUUCUUAAAGGGAUGUAGGGUAUGGGUCUCAUAGCUUAAGCUAGCACCUUUUUACUUCGGGUUAGGCUUCAACAUUGAAGUACUAUGCAGUUAUACUUAAGCUCUUAUAGUUAUGUUUUUGGCGAGGGAAUUAUAAGAUUGAGAUGGUAAAGUGUGGUAUUCAUAGAUGAAAACAUAUUUGAAAAGUGUGCUAUUUUUAAAGGCUAUUAGACAUAUCAUUUGAGGUAGAGAAUGUUUCUAUUAAAUUCUUAUGUCCCGCAAGAAUCUCUGUACAUGUCUUGUACCAAUCUUAAUCAGGAAAACUUAUACCUUACAAUGUUAUGAUCAUGUUCCAUAGAGCACAUGCCAAGAUCAUGUCUAUGUCAAGUCUUGUUAUCUCAUAAUUUGUGCUUAACCGAUUUACUUGAUGAUGUCAUAAAGCUCUUCUUGAAUGACUGUGUAUGUUUCGUUGAGGAAAAUAAAAUUUUUAAUGUGAGGUUACGUCCUUUAUUCCAUACUAUUAUAGCUUUAACAAGUUCCUACCCAUCAUUCGAGGAUGAAUGAUUCCAAGAAGGAGAUAAUGUCACACCCCGUAUUUUUUAGAUAGAAUUUGAAUCGUCGUUCCUACGUGUAUAGACCCAAGCCCAAUGAUUCUAUGUCAAUAUAAGUGUGAUGAUAAAAUCUAAAGUCUGGUAACAGCUUUGGAGUUUGAGUGAGAUCAUAAAAAUCUCCUAACUCAAAGACGAGUGGAGGAAUUUUCUAUCGAUAGAGUUUUAGUGGACAUCCUUACUUGAGUCAACUUCCAACAACCAUUACUUCUAAAAUAUAAUGAGUUAGGUGGUCUAAUAUAUGUUGAGAAAAUGUUGUAAUUUGUUCAUUGGACCGGGUUAGUUCACCUGUCUCAUCUGAUUGUUAAAUUAUAGUCGUCUGCUCAGUACAUGACUUGGACUUGCCUUAACAUGUUGACUUCAUCCAAAUCAGUAGAAACUCAUUGUAAAUAUUAUUUUAUUCCUUUUGUACACCCUAGGGUAAAUGUUUUACGUAUCCUUAUUUAGGCUAGUAUUCUAUUUUAUUUAGAACUACAUUAUUUUUUACCUUAUUUAGGAGUCAUUAGGUGUUUGGGUUUGUCUUUCUUUUGGGUUUUCUUUCAUUUUGUUUACUUGUAUAUAUACAUAGGACAUUAUACAAAAUUAUCAAUCAAUUAAGAAAAGGAGAAGAAAUUUUUCGCAAAUUCUUUGUCAUUCUUUUCCGUAAUUCAUUUAAUUCCUUUUAGUUCAUACAUGGUAUCAUAGUCAGGCCCACCCAAUUCAUUGUUUUCGAUGUUGGCCCCCUAUAUUAUAUUGUCCAUGCUCCAGAUAUCCAAUCCUGGGCAUGCGGGGAAGGGGGAGGGGAAGGGUGUUGGAGUCCCAUGUCGUUGGGUUAAAGGGUUCUUGGUCUCCGUAUAUUGUCUUGGGCAAUCCUCACCUCAUGAGCUAGCUUUUGGGGUUGAGUUAGGCCCAAGAUCCAUUCUUUACCUGGAUUGUCAUUCAAUUCAAUCAUGAAUUAUCAUGAAUUAUCUUGUCUCAAAUUCUCAUCCUUGUGUCUCAAUUUCAAUCAUCUUAUCUCAAAUUUUUAUCAUGUUCAAUACCCAAAAUAAUCUAAUUUGUUCUUACUAUAAGAAAUUCGGUCAUACAAUGGACAAAUGUUACAAAAUUCAUGGGUUUCCUGCUAAUUUUAAAUUUACAAAGCAGAGAAAAUUUCAAAAAAAAAAGUUCCAAGUCAACAACAGUUUCAACAUUGUUAAGGAAUAGGCGGACAGUAGUAUUCCAAACACCAGGUCCUUAACUCAAAAAAUUGUGGAACGACUGUUGGAGCUUCUUCAGCAAUUGAAUAUUGCAAAACAAGGUAAAAACACUCUCAAGAUUCUGCCAACGUGAGGGUUGCAUAUAAAGCUAAGUUUUUCAAUUCUUAUCCACACUUAGUAAACAUUGACAAUAAAUCAAUUCUUUAAAAUUUUAAUGCUUUGCCUAGUGCAAUCAUGGUGAAUCUUCCCAAUUCAUACAAAGUAAGGGUAACUCAUUCAGGAACAAUUUGUAUAUCACCAAAUCUUCUUUCAGAGAAUGUUUUAUAUAUACCUUCUUUCAAGUACAAUCUCUUGUUUGAACAAAAAUUGUGUAGACAACUCAAUAAUUAUGUGUUAUUCACUCCUACUUCUUGUUUUACGUUUCAAGGCCCUUCUCUGAAAAGCCCAUUGGAAAUUCGUAGAGAAAAAGAAGGACUCUACAUACUCAAAUCAACCAUGUCGGAUACUCUUCAAAUGCUCAAGUUAAUAAAAUCUCAAGUCCUAAUUUAGGUUCUAAUUCAGUUUCCUAUAAUAGAACUUCCAGUUCUAAUUCAGUUUCUCAUUCAAGCUUUACCUUAUUUGAGUCCAAAAUAAAGGAGAUAUUGUGGCAUUACUGAUUGCGGCAUAUGUUGUUGAAUAAUAUGAAAAACAUUCCUUUUCAUUCAAUAUCUUCUUGUCAAAAUUUUGGCACUCCUUCUAAUGGUAAGACAAGCCAAACUACCUUUUUCAAUAAUCAGCAUCUCAACAAAAAGUAUUUUUGAGUUGAUACAUAUUGAUACUUGGGGACCGUAUAAAGAACCAACACAUGAAAGGUAUAAAUUCUUUCUUACCAUUGUGGAUGAUUUUAGUAGAGGAACAUGGACUUUCCAUUAAGCAAUAAAUCAAAUGCUUUCACAGUCCUCAAAUCUUUCUUAGCUAUGGUCGAAAGACAAUUUUACAACCAAAGUCAAAAUAGUAAGAUCUGGCAAUGCUCUUGAGUUAGCAAGUGGCACAACACAAUCAGAAUAUUUUGUUUCUAAAGGUAUUCAACAUCAAACCUUAUGCGUGUCUACUACACAACAAAAUGGUGUGGUUGAAAGAAAAUAUAGCCAUUUGCUAAAGACAUCUAGGGCUCUUUUCUACCAGUCACAUCUACCCAUUCAAUAUUGGGUGAAUAUCUUUUGACUGCAACAUAUCUAAUCAAUAGAUGUUCUUCAAAAAUCCUUAAUGGUAAAACUCCUUUUGAAGUCUUUUCAAGACCACACCUAACUAUUCUAAUCUCAAAUGUUUUGGAUGUCUAUGUUUUCUUUCCACUCUAUCCUCUUAAUGGUUUAAGUUGGCACCAAGGGCAACAGUAUGUGUCUUUUUAGUAUAUCCAUGUGGAAAGAAAGGUUAUAAAGUUUUGGUUCUUAAUACUAAGAAAAUCAUAGUUUCUAGAGAUGUUGUGUUUCGUAAAAAUAUCUUUCCUUUUGCUUCUUAUAAAUGUAAUGAUUCCUACUUUUCAGUCCAUGCAUCAAUCCCAACUGUUGAUUCAGAUGAUAAUGUUGACAGUAAUCAAAGCAUCUCAUCUGCCUCAGUUAUCACUUCUACUUUACCUCUUGCAUCUACCACUGUGGACCAGGUACAACCUUCUAUUCCUUCAAUAAUCACGAACCAAGUACAACCUCAUGUUCCUUCUGCUGUCAUGGACCAGGUACAUUCACCUAUUCCUUCCACAAAUAAUAUUUCCUCACUUAGGAGGUCAACUCGGGAAUACAAAAUUGCUAGUCAUCUAGAAGAUUAUAUUUGCAAUUCUGUGCGCCUGGCUAAUAUUAGCUCUUCUUGUUUCUCAUGUCCUAUCUCACCAAUCUCUCUUUCUUUCACAACUUUAUCUUCCAAUAAUCAAUAUAUGCUGAAUUCCUUGACUAAUAUUCAAAAACCUGUCAAUUAUAAUCAAGUUGUGUUGCACAAAGGUUGGAAAAAAGCUAUGGAGAAAGAGUUUUAGGCUCUUGAGUGGAACAACACUAGGAAUGUGGUCCAACUACCCUCGGUAAAAAGGCUUUACCUUGUAAGGGGAUUUAUAAAGUCAAAAAACAUAAUGAUGGCAGCAUUGAAAGGUUAAAAUCUAGGUUAGUGAUUAGAGGAAACAUUCAAAGACAAGGUAUUGAUUUUAAUGAGACUUUUUCUCUAGUCAUCAAAAUAACUACUAUCCGAUGUCUUCUAGCUACAGUUUUCAAAAAAAGGUUAGAGGCUUUAUCAAUUAGAUGCUAAUAAUGCAUCUUUACAUGGAGAUCUUCAUGAGGAAGUCUACAUGAAGUUCCCUGAUGGGACAGUUCCACCAUCACCAUCUCAUGUUUGCAAGCUUAAGAAGUCUAUAUAUGGACUUCGACAAGACUCUAGGCAAUAGUACUCAAGACUUAUGGAUGCUCUUAAUUUUAAAGGGUUCACUCAUUCUCUUUAUGAUUAUUCUUUAUUCGUUAAGAAAUCUGACUCCUCUAUUUCAAUAGUAGUAGUAUGUGUCGAUGACAUUUUUUUGACAGGUAAUGAUAAUGUUGAGUUGUAUGCAUUGAAGUUAUUUCUAUAUGAGGAGUUCAAAAUCAAGGAUUUGGGAGAUUUACAUUUUUUCUUAGGCAUGGAGGUAUUGCGUAAACCUCAUGGAAUUAUUCUUUCACAACAAAAGUUCACAAUUGAUCUUCUCAAAGAAUUCGAUGUCGCACAUUUGGCAUUUGUUUCAUCUCUUCUUAAUCCUACAGUAAAGCUAGGUUUAAAUGAUGGGAUGUUAUUCAUAAUCCUGCUGUAUAUAGACAUCUUCUUGGUAAGUUGAAUUAACUUACUCACACAAGGCUGGUUAUUUCCUUCAUUGUUCAGUAUCUUAGCCAAUUCAUGCAAGAUCCUCAUCAACCUCAUUUUAUUGCUGCAUUACGUGUACUUCGUUAUUUAUCAAAAGAACCAGAUUUUGGAGAUUUACAUUUUUUCUUAGGCAUAGAGGUAUUGAGAGAACCUCAUGGCAUUAUUCUUUCACAACGAAAGUUCACAAUUGAUCUUCUCAAAGAAUUUGAUGUCACACAUUUGGCAUUUGUUUCAUCUCUUUUUAAUCCUACAUUAAAGCUAGGUUUAAAUGAUGGGAUGUUAUUCCUAAUCCUACUGUAUAUAGACAUUUUCUUGGUAAGUUAAUUACCUUACUCACAAGGCUGGUUAUUUCCUUCACUGUUCAGCAUCUUAUCCAAUUCAUGCAAGAUCCUCGUCAACCUCAUCUUACUGCUGAAGUACGUAUUCUUCGUUAUUUAUCAAAAGAACCAGGUUUGGACCUUUUUCUCAAUGCUUCUUAAUCAUUUGAUCUUCUUGCUUUUUGAGACUCGGAUUUGGGAACAUAUCCAAAUUCAAGAAAAUCGGUUAGUGGAUUUUAUAUAUCACUUGGGGGCUCUCUAAUCUCUUAGAAGUCAAGGAAGCAACCUCUAUUUCUCUUAUCUCCAUAGAGACUGAGUAUAGUUCUAUGAGGCGUGUCGUUGUUGAGCUUGCAUGAUUGGCUCGUCUCUUUCAAGAUCUUUCCAUUCCAAUAUCAUUGUUUGUGCCUCUCCAUUUAGAUAAUCUGGUAGAAAUACAUAUUGCUAAGAACCUCGUGUUUUAUGAGAGAACAAAACAUAUUGAGAUUGAUUGCCAUUUUGUUAGGCAAAAGUUUUUGGAUGAACUUAUUUCACCUUCAUUGGUUCCAUCUUCCUCUUAGUUAGCUGAUCUAUUCACCAAAUCACUCACCGGUCCUCUUCAUCACAGUGUUUUGGGCAAGUUGGGUGUCCGUUCGUCCCUUCCAACUUGAGGGGGAAUUUUGAGAUAAUGUUGUAAUUUGUUCAUUGGACCGGGUUGGUUCACCUGUUUCAUCUGAUUGCUAUAUUACAAUUGCCUAAUCAGUACAUGACUUAGACUUGCCUUAACAUGUUGAUUUCAUCCAAAUCGGCAAGAAAUCAUUGUAAAUAUUAUUUUAUUCCUUUUGUAGUAUGUUCCUUUUGUACACCCUAGGGAAAUAUUUUAUGUAUCCUUAUUUAGGCUAGCAUUCUAUUUUAUUUAGUAGUCCUUAGGUGUUUGGGUUUGUCUUUCAUUAGGGUUUGCCAUCAUUUUGUUUACUUGUAUAUAUACAUAGGACAUUGUACAAAAUCAUCGAUCAAUCAAGAAAAACAGAAGAAAAUUUCCACAAAUUCUUUGUCUUUCUUUUCCGUAAUUCAUUUAAUUCCCUUCAAUUCUUACAGUAUAUAUCAAAUAAAAGAUCUUCAGAUCUUCUUUCCAACGCAUCCGAUUUCACCUUAAUCCGAUAUUGGAGUAGGAAGCUAAGCUCAUUUUACUUCGAAGUGUCCAUUGUCAACAAGGUAAUGACUUAAGUGAAAAUCCAUCAACUAAGUGACGAGCUGUCAACCUCGUCAUCAACCUUAACCAGAAAAUGCCCUACAUCACUUAGGAAAGGUGACGACGAGGUUGAUAAGCCAUCACCUAAAUGAUAAGAUAUCAACUAACUCAUCACCCUUAACCAGAAAGUGUCCAAGUCUAGCAAGAGGGUGACGACUAGGUUGAUAAGUCAUCAACCAGCUGAUAAGAUAUCACCUAAGUCAUCAACUAAAAAUUCCUCUGCAAUUUUUAUUCAGUUUCCUUAUGGGUAUUUUGGUCUUUUUCCCCACACAAACUCCUCCCCCAUGACUUAAAUCAUCCAAUAUGCGUUAUCAGCCAUUAUUAAUCAGUUUUAAAUGCUCAUAAUCCUCUCCACUCCCAAGAGAAAGAAAGAUUAGGGUUUCUUCCAAGGCUUAUACUUCCAAGACUAGAUCUCAAGCUAUUUUGAAUUCUUGUUCAUCAAAAAAAGGGUAUGUGGUACUAUCCUAAAUCUCAUGAGCGUAAGUUUAUCAUUUUAGUAAGUUUUUAAUAGAUGUAAUUAUGUAUAUGUAAUGGGUUUUGAAAACUGUUUUGAAGAGCAUGCAUCAUGAACCCAUUUUGAUGAAAGUAUGCAUUUAUUAGGGGGUUUUUCAUGAAUUAGAAUUACAUAUAUGUGUGUAAACGUUAUGGUUUUUGACAUGUGAUUUAUGAACAUAAAUUGUGGAAUUUCCCUCUCCCAUGAUGAAAUUUAUGGUCUUAACAUGUUAUGGAUUGUGACACGGGUUUGAGAGCAUGAACUAUAAGUUCACCUUUUGAUCAUGAGGUUUAAGUGUGACUAAUGUUGGGACUAAUUUAUGAAUGAUGAUGAUUCUUGGGUUUUGAUACCUCUUUAACUAUUAUGCAUUGGUGUUUUGCACUUUCAAAAGGGGUAUUUCUUACGCUAAAGGCUCUUGUGUCAUAAUGAUGUAACUUCAUGUGAUUAAUGAAAGAAGUGACCACCACGUGUUUAAGUCUUGAAAAGAGAGAGUGUGUGCAUAAGUUUCAUAUGCUUUAAAUAAGAACUCUCAUGUGAUUUAAUAAACCUUUUGGUGGUCAUUAAUGUGUUUUUGAAUGAGAAGGGCUAUGUUUUUUAUAUGAUAUGAUAUGGCUUGCAAGUCUAGGUAUAACGAUACCUAUUAUGAAAUGCCUUUGACUUGAUAAUAAACAAACAUUUUAAGUAUGAAGCAUGGUUUUAAAGAACUAAAAUUGGGUUUAAAGAAAGUUAGACGAUAAGGCAUUUGAGUGUAAGGGCUCAUUGCUGGAAAUCGAGUUUUGCCGAUUUGGGAGACAUGAUUGGCAAUGGCCAAUGUAUACUUUCCCUGAGGCAUUGGUAUACUAGAAUAGUAUGUAGGACCCCAAUCCUUGCGACAAACUUGGAUUAAAGGGCUUGGCCACCGAGUUAAGGGUGGAUUCCAUAUAGCCAGUGAGAUUUUAGAAAUGUAAGGUGUCCAUAUACCUCAGAACUAAAGUAAAGAGUUGAGUUCAUGAUUUACAAGAAUGUUUUGAAACUCUUGAGUUAUGCUCAUGUGUUUUGACCUAUAUUAUAUUAGAUUGAUUUCAAAUUGCUCUCAAUUAUUUUAGAUGAAUUCUACAUUAUUUUGGACCAAUACUUUCCAAGUAUUAACCCCUUACCCUACAGGUUUUGAGGCACAAUCCCGUGGCCCAGCUCAGCAGUAGUCAGAGUUGGUGAGCCUCCCUUACUUCGAAAGGCAUCUUAUCCAUAUGUUAGUUUCAGUUGUUUUAUGGUCCGACCGAGGGUCUUGUCCCGGUUUAGAUAGACUAGUUUGCUCAGUUUAGUAGAGGUUUCUUAGACUGGAUUGGGUUUUUUCUUUUAUGGAUGGUUGUUAUGAAGUAUUAAGUUUGACUAUGGUAUUUUCAUGUUUCAGUUUAUCUUCCACACUUUAUUUCAUAUGGAUUAUUCUUAUGAUAGUAUGCUAAGGGGUCUGUCGAGCCUUUGUGGUUUGGGAAGCCAGUCGCGGCUAGGGCCUCAGCUCGGGUCAUGACACUACAAAACUUAAUGGUUACUUUAUCCAACAUAGUUUAGUAUUUACUAUAUACCAUCUCAAUUCAUCCUAAAAAAGAGGAACUUAGUUUUUCUGCAAUCCCAAGCCCUUCUUUUUGAGGAUAGGCGUAAGGUGUCAUCGAGGAUGUUAUUAAGAAUGACGAUUGUUUUUAAUAAAAGUAUGUCUUAUCAAUUUUUUGUAUGCUUGUUCUCUUUCAUCUCUCUACUUACUAUAUAUAUGCUUUUGCAUAACAGAUUUUCUCACUGGACAAAUAGACUGGAAAAAAAUGUUACUUCUUAGGUGCAAGGGAUCUUUAUAUUGUCUGGAGUGAAGUUGCUAAUUAUUGGGAAUGGACUUCACUACUAGAGUUCAGGUUUGUCAUUCUUCUGCACAUAUCAUAUUAAUAAUUAAAGCCUAUCCCUUUCUUGAGAUAUACUCCCUUCGUACAAGUUUAAAAAAGAAAUGAAGUGUUUUGAAAUUUGUGAUCUAGAACAAGUCUUAUACAUUUGCCUUGUAACUUGCUAUUUUUCUAUCAUAUUUUCUUGCAUCCUACUUUGGUUGUUUCUCUUUUGAGACGAGGACCUAUUUGAUACAGUCUUCCUAUCCUACAAAUGUAAGAGCGAAGUCUUCAUACAGACUACUCUCGCCACAUGUGAGAUUACACCGACUAUGUUAUUGUUGAAUUUAAAAUGAAAAUUUGAAGUUCAACUAAAGCCAUCCCCAACUGUUUUAUGCCUAUUGAUUGCCAAAGAAGGUUUCCGGACGUAGCUCGGCUGAAAUCAUACAGUGGCUUGAAAUUUGGGGCACAAUAAAAGCUGGGAUUCUGUCACCACUUACAUCCUACACAACUUACUUUUUUUACAAGUUGGAAGAUAAUUUUCUAUUGAACUUUUUGGUGUUGAAUCUGAAAAUAUGUAGAUUUGUUUUUUUACAUCUAAAUCCUGUAUAUAUACCAUGGUAUCUAUACAUCUCAGCUUGUACUCCGCCCACCUCUCAUCUCUGUUGCACAGGGGAAGAGUUUGAAUGGACUGAAGAAGAUGAUAUUCUCGAAGAUCUUGAUUGGGAUCAUCAUCCUUGUAACAAGCAGCUUGAUAACCCAGUUCCUAGAUUAAGAGAUGAUGGCUGGUUUCAGUUAGAAUUGGGCAAGUUUUCACUGAAAAUGAAGACAAUUGCAUAGUGUUGAGAAUGCAAGAUGUGACGGUUGGUUAUACAAAACGAGGCCUUAUUGUUGAAGGAAUUGAGAUAAGGCGAAAAAUUGCUUAACCAUUUUAUAGCUGUACUUCAUUUCAUUUGGUUAAGUAUUUAAGUUUGCCUUUUGAGCUCUGUUUUCUUGAAAAAGUUCAUUUUAUGCUGCAAAACUAAUAUGGCUGGAAUGAAUAGUAUAGGUUUUGAAUUUUAUGAUACAUGAGCCUAUUUUCCCGAUGGGAUAUGUUUAAUUGUCGCUUGGAUAUGUAAUUGUUAUGUUUAAACCAAAGAUAAUCCAUUGCCUUUUUUCUGUUAAGUUCUUUGUCUUAAACGGGAAAUAAGGUGGAAUAAAAUGAAAAUCUACAUAGGCAAGGGAAUUGAGUUGAGGAGAAGAGUGUGGGAAGCAUUGCAUCACUCAUCCAUUGGAGGUCAUGCAGGACAACAGGCCACUUAUUAUGAAUCAAGAUGCUAUUUUACUGACCUAACAUGAAACAGGAUAUCUUUAAAUGGGUAAGGGAGUGUGACAUAUGUCAGAAAGUCAAAUCUGAGAAUGUGCAUUACCCAGGGCUUUUACAACCUCUCCCUAUACCUGAAACACCUUGGAAAGACAUUGGAAUGGACUUCAUAUAAGGUUUGCCUAUAUCACACCAUAAGGACUCAAUAUUGGUAGUGAUGGAUCGGUUGACUAAGUAUGGUCAUUUUAUUGUCCUAAAGCACCCCGACACUACUCAACUAUAGCUGAAAUAUUCUUGAAUGAGGUUUAUAGAUUACAUGGGUUACCUCAGUCCAUAGUUACUAACAGGGAUGUCGUUUUUAUAAGUUUAUUCUAGAAACAACUAUUUAAAACCCUGAGAACUAAGCUCAAUAUGACUUCAGCCUAUCAUCCUCAAUCAGAUGGACAUACUGAGCGAAUUAACAAGUGUUUAGAGACUUAUCUUAGAGUUAUGGUGUUGGAUCAACCAAAGCAAUGGUCUAAGUGGUUACAUUUAGCCGAAUUCUGGUACAACACAAAUUAUCAUGUUUUCCUCAAGGCUACACCCUUUGAGGCCCUUUAUGGUAUUCCACCACUCCACAUACCAUUGGGCUCCUUAGGCCACUCUAGUAGGUCCUCAACAGAGGCUUGCGUGACACAAUGAUAAUAGCUAUUACAACAACUCCAAAAUAAUCUACAAGAAGCACAAUCGCGAAUGAAAUACUAUGCGGACAAGAACAGAUCUGAGAGAUCUCUAUAGAUUAGCGACAUGGUUUAUCUCAAAUUGCAACUAUAUAGACAAUCAACGGUAGAGAUGAGAUGAAAUCUUAAGAUAAGUGCCAAAUACUAUGGGCCUUACAAGGUAAUUGAAAGGACAGGAACAGUGGCUUACCGUUUGGAGCUUCCCUGGGGUCAUAGAUUCUCCUCGUAUUCCACAUAUCGCAAAUCAAGCGACAUAUAGGUCCAAACAUCAGCUCUCAGCAGCAGCCCCCGAGUUGUGAUGGAGAUGAAUGUCUACUGGUGGGGUCAUUAGUCAUCCUACAUUGUCGAAUAAUCAAGGUCAACAAUACCGUAGCAGUGCAGGUGCUCGUUCAUUGGGCUAAUCUGGAUGCAGACGAAGCCACAUAGGAGGAUUGGAGUUAUAGCCGCAGUCGCUUUCCUUAGUUCGUAACUCAAACACAAUCUUAAGGACAAGGUUGUUUUGAAGGAGAGAGAGUUGUAAUGUUAUGGGGUUUGCAUAAUUGAAGAAGGAACUAAAGAAUAAAGAGUAAAGUGAAUAAAAAGGAUAAAGUGAAGUUGGACACGAGUGGGGACGAGAAUCAGGCAAGUAGCGGUCCAACUGGCAGCUGACUUACAAUGAGUGGUCGAGAUUAGAGAUUAUCGACGGCAGAGAUUACUUCUCUAGAAACUCCAGCUCAGUUUUCUUAAUAAAUAUCUCAACUGGAAUGGGGAUUAGCAGUUAGACAAUUAUUGAUAAAUUUCCCUCUCAAACAUUCUCUCUCAAAUAUUUCUCUCUAUCCAUUUCUCUUCUUCCUCUCUACUACCUUAACACUAAUUCUCCAUUACAGGAUUCAUGGAGCUUGUUGUUGUAUCAAUGGUGGAAUAGCUGAGAAUUAGUCAAUUAGUGGUGUUAUUCCGAAUUUGAUUGUAACUGUGAACAAUUGAGUGUUAAUAAAAUUUCCAAUUUCUUGCCCUGAUUUCCCAAUUCAUUACAAAGGACAUCACACUUUUGCACCCAUGCCUUCGAUUUAAGAAGAAAAUCCGGCAAUUUUGACCAGUGCACCUAACUUUUCUCUUGUAUUUUAGGGUGCCUAAUAAUAUAUAUACACACAUAAUUUUUUUCAAAGUUAACGAUGGGUGCACGUGCACCCCACCCUUCAACGUGAGUUCAUUUUUAUUACUCUUCGCAAACCCCACUUUUGAUGGGUAUGUUUAUGUUAUUGUUGUUUCAUAAGCAGGUUUCGGGAGAUGGCUCAGUUGAAACUUGUAUGUUGGCUUGAAAUUUGGAGCACAAUUGAAGCUGGGAUUCUGUCACCCUUGAUAUGCUACGCAGUUUACUUUAUUUACAAGUUGGAUGAAGAUUAUUAUUGUGGGCUUGAUUCUCAAAAUGUGGAGGUUUCAGUUGGAUUUUCUGUCUUUGAAUCCAAAAAUAUGCAUAUUGUUUGCUUGCAUACUUCUCCUCAUGAUAUCACAAAGACUAUAUACGACUCACCUUAUAAUCCUUCUUCCCCAUAUCUUACCGAUGAUUGCCUUGAUGACGAACCACUUCCUCAACUUAGAGAUAAUGAUUAGUUUGAGUUAGAAUUGGGAGAGAUUUUUACUGAAAAUAAAGAUA
rnacentral:lncRNA from 1 species